AGAGGAGUCAGGGAGGAGGAGUCGGAGGAAGAGGAGUCGGAGGAAGAGGAGUCCAGGAAUAGGAGUCGGGGAAGAGGAGUCAGGGAAAUGUAGUCGGGGAAGAGUAGUUGGGGAAGAGGAGUCGGGGAAGAGGAGUCGGGUGGAAAAGUAGUCAUGGAAGAGGAGUCGGGGGAAGAGUAUUUGGGGAAGAGUAGUUGGGGAAGAGGAGUUUGGAAAGAGUAGUUGGGGGAGAGGUGUUGGGGAAGAGUAGUCAGGGAAGAGGAGUCAUGGAAGAGGAGUUGGGAAGAGUAGUUGGGGAAGAGGAGUCAGGUGGAAGAGUAGUCAGGGAAAUUGAGUCAUGGAGGAGGAGUCGGGGAAAGAGUAGUUGGGGAAUAGGAGUUGGAGGAAGAGUAGUCAGGGAAGACGAGUUGGGGGAAGAGGAGUCGGGUGGAAGAGUAGUCAGGGAAGUUGAGUCACGGAAGAGGAGUUGGGGCAAGAGUACACAGGGAAGAGGAGUUGGGGGAGGAGGAAUUGGGGAAGAGUAGUCGGGGAAGAGGAGUCGUAGAAGAGG
ensembl:lncRNA